rnacentral:rRNA from 1 species
GAUGAACGCUAGCGGCAGGCUUAAUACAUGCAAGUCGAGGGGCAGCACAGAUAGCAAUAUUGGGUGGCGACCGGCAAACGGGUGCGGAACACGUACACAACCUUCCUUUUGGUGGGGGAUAGCCUUUGGAAACGGAGAUUAAUACCCCAUAAGAUAUUGUGACCGCAUGGUUAUGAUAUUAAAGAUUUAUUGCCAGAAGAUGGGUGUGCGUAUGAUUAGGUAGUUGGUGAGGUAAAGGCUCACCAAGCCGACGAUCAUUAACUGGUGUGAGAGCACGACCAGUCACACGGGCACUGAGACACGGGCCCGACUCCUACGGGAGGCAGCAGUAAGGAAUAUUGGUCAAUGGACGGAAGUCUGAACCAGCCAUGCCGCGUGGAGGAUGAAGGUCCUCUGGAUUGUAAACUUCUUUUAUAUGGGGCGAAGAAGGGCCAUUCUUGGUCAACUGACGGUACCAUAUGAAUAAGCACCGGCUAACUCCGUGCCAGCAGCCGCCGUAAGAC